CCUUAAUACCGGCUGCACCAUUAGGAUGUCCUGAUCCAACAUCGAGGUCGUAAACCCCCUCGUCGAUAGGGACUCUGGGAGAGGAUUGCGCUGUUAUCCCUAGGGUAACUCGGUCCGUUGAUCGGCGUUCGCCGGAUCAUUUUUGGUCAGAAAUUCUGGUGCUUAGAGUUGUGGCUCUUGGUUGUGGGGGCAGUGUCCCCAGUCCACAUGGGGGCUUUGUUUUCCCCCGCGGUCGCCCCAACCAAAGACAUAGGGGCUAGGGGUCACUGUGUUUUUACUUGUUAAUUCAAGGUUACUUGACGUGAUCUGCCUGGUGUCUAAAGCUCCAUAGGGUCUUCUCGUCUUAUGUAUUUAUGUCCGCUUCUGCACGGG
rnacentral:rRNA from 1 species